rnacentral:misc_RNA from 1 species
AAGUCAUAACAAGGUUUCCGUAGGUGAACCUGCGGAAGGAUCAUUAAUGAUGCCCUCGACGCCUUUACCGGCUGGUAGGGUUGUGCCGGUCUCUUUGGAGCUGGCCUCAUCUCACACACCGUGAACUGUGGCUUCGGCCAUUUACACAAACUGUUAGUAAUGAAUGUAACAUCAUAACAAACAUAAAACUUUUAACAACGGAUCUCUUGGCUCUC